CUCGACUCAAAUCCAUAAUAGUUAAAUACUGAGCACCUGCUAACUGAUCCAGUAGUUCAUCUAUCCUGGGCAUGGGGUAAGCAUCAAAUGUGGUCACUGCAUUUAACCUUCUGUAGUCUACACAAAACCUGAUGGAUUUAUCUUUCUUGGGAACCAGCACUACAGGAGAAGCCCAGGGGCUCUUUGAUUUCCUAAUUACCCCAAGCCCCAACAUGUCUUC